GAUGAACGCUGGCGGCGUGCCUAAUACAUGCAAGUCGAGCGAACGGACGAGAAGCUUGCUUCUCUGAUGUUAGCGGCGGACGGGUGAGUAACACGUGGAUAACCUACCUAUAAGACUGGGAUAACUUCGGGAAACCGGAGCUAAUACCGGAUGAUAUUUUGAACCGCAUGGUUCAAAAGUGAAAGACGGUCUUGCUGUCACUUAUAGAUGGAUCCGCGCUGCAUUAGCUAGUUGGUAAGGUAACGGCUUACCAAGGCAACGAUGCAUAGCCGACCUGAGAGGGUGAUCGGCCACACUGGAACUGAGACACGGUCCAGACUCCUACGGGAGGCAGCAGUAGGGAAUCUUCCGCAAUGGGCGAAAGCCUGACGGAGCAACGCCGCGUGAGUGAUGAAGGUCUUCGGAUCGUAAAACUCUGUUAUUAGGGAAGAACAUGUGUGUAAGUAACUGUGCACAUCUUGACGGUACCUAAUCAGAAAGCCACGGCUAACUACGUG
rnacentral:rRNA from 1 species